rnacentral:rRNA from 1 species
UACGAAGGGGGCUAGCGUUGUUCGGAUUUACUGGGCGUAAAGCGUGCGCAGGCGGUUUGUUAAGUCUGCUGUGAAAUCCCCGAGCUCAACUUGGGAAUUGCAGUGGAUACUGGCAAGCUAGAGUAUGGUAGAGGAAGGUGGAAUUCCCGGUGUAGCAGUGAAAUGCGUAGAGAUCGGGAGGAACACCAGUGGCGAAGGCGGCCUUCUGGACCAAUACUGACGCUCAUGCACGAAAGCGUGGGGAGCAAACAGG